UGGGCCCAAGUUUCUUGCGCACGCUCCGGACAUGCGCAGUGCGGGAGCUGAGGCGCCAGCUGUCGAUUUGGAAGUUCCGGGGAAGUCGCGCAUGCGCGAGUGUACGCGUUGCCGGCGAAGAGGGGAGCCUGACGACUCGGAAAUUUGAAUACCACAGUAGCAUGGAGUGUGACCUCAUGGAGACUGACAUCUUGGAGUCGUUGGAAGAUCUAGGUUACAAGGGCCCAUUGUUGGAAGAUGGAGCGCUCUCUCGGGCAGUCUCUGCUGGAGCCAGUUCCCCCGAGUUUACCAAACUCUGUGCUUGGCUGGUGUCUGAAUUAAGAGUGCUCUGUAAACUAGAGGAAAACGUGCAAGCAACUAACAGUCCGAGUGAAGCUGAAGAAUUCCAACUUGAGGUGAGUGGGCUACUAGGGGAGAUGAACUGCCCGUAUCUUUCACUGACAUCUGGGGAUGUGACCAAGCGCCUUCUCAUUCAGAAGAACUGCCUCCUCUUGCUCAGUAAGUUCAUGGCUACUAGAAUAUAGCUAUUACUUUCUGUUUAUGUUUUCCAUGACUAAUAAACUGACCAUGGUUUUUUGUUUGUUUAUUUCAUUAUGAAUGUAAUUCAAAAUUCAUUUUAAAAUAAAACUUUCUUAAAUUUCCAAUUUAGGAGCUG
rnacentral:sRNA from 1 species